rnacentral:rRNA from 1 species
AGUCGAGUGACACUGCGCCGAAAAUGUACCGGGGCUAAACAUAUUACCGAAGCUGUGGAUUGUCCUUUGGACAAUGGUAGGAGAGCGUUCUAAGGGCGUUGAAGCAUGAUCGUAAGGACAUGUGGAGCGCUUAGAAGUGAGAAUGCCGGUGUGAGUAGCGAAAGACGGGUGAGAAUCCCGUCCACCGAUUGACUAAGGUUUCCAGAGGAAGGCUCGUCCGCUCUGGGUUAGUCGGGUCCUAAGCUGAGGCCGACAGGCGUAGGCGAUGGAUAACAGGUUGAUAUUCCUGUACCACCUAUAAUCGUUUUA